GUGAAUCAUCGAAUCUUUGAACGCAAAUUGCACUCUCCGGUUUUCCGGGAGAGUAUGCCUGUUUGGGGUUCGUUAGAAUACAAAAUCGAGGCGUUGCGCUUUUUUUUAAGGUUGAUCGCGUCGGAAUUUAGCCGUCUUUCAAAUGUUAAUUCAUGUCAAAGUGGCUUGAAAUUCAUCUAUCCGGUACGAUUAAAUCGUAUUUAAGAUCAACCUUUAUUAAGAACGCGCGAUGUCGUACCAUCU
rnacentral:misc_RNA from 1 species